CUAAAAAGCCAUCCCAGUUCGGAUUGCAGGCUGAAACCCGCCUGUAUGAAGUUGGAAUCGCUAGUAAUCGCGGAUCAGCAUGCCGCGGUGAAUACGUUCCCGGGCCUUGUACACACCGCCCGUCACACCAUGAGAGUCGGGAACACCCGAAGUCCGUAGCCUAACCGCAAGGGGGGCGCGGCCGAAGGUGGGUUCGAUAAUUGGGGUGAAGUCGUAACAAGGUAUC
rnacentral:rRNA from 1 species